rnacentral:rRNA from 1 species
UGUUUAAUCCUUGUAUCUUGUAUGUCUACCGUGGUUACCUGUGGUAAUUCUAGAGCUAAUACAUGCACCAAAGCUCCGAUUUUGUGACGAGCGCAUCUAUUAGAUUAAAACCAAUCGGGUUUCGGCCCGUAAAUUGGUGACUCUGAAUAACUGUAGCUGAUCGCAUGGUCCAGAACCGGCGACGUGUCUAUCAAGUGUCUGCCUUAUCAACUGUCGAUGGUAGUUUAUGUGCCUACCAUGGUUGUAACGGGUAACGGAGAAUAAGGGUUCGACUCCGGAGAGGGAGCCUGAGAAACGGCUACCACAUCCAAGGAAGGCAGCAGGCGCGCAAAUUACCCACUCUCGGCAUGAGGAGGUAGUGACGAAAAAUAACGAGACCGUUCUCUAUGAGGCCGGUUAUCGGAAUGGGUACAAUUUAAACCCGUUAACGAGGAUCUAUGAGAGGGCAAGUCUGGUGCCAGCAGCCGCGGUAAUUCCAGCUCUCAAAGUGUAUAUCGUCAUUGCUGCGGUUAAAAAGCUCGUAGUUGGAUCUGCGCCUCAGGACUUGGUCCGCCCACUGGGCGAGAACUGGGCUCCUGGGCUAGUUCUGCUGGUUUUCCCUACGUUGCCUUCAUCGGUCGCGUAGGGUGGCUAGCGAGUUUACUUUGAAAAAAUUAGAGUGCUUCACGCGGGCUUAUGUCUGAAUACUCGUGCAUGGAAUAAUAGAAUAGGAUCUCGGUUCUAUUUUGUUGGUUUUCUGAUCUGAGAUAAUGGUUAAGAGGGACGGACGGGGGCAUUCGUAUCGCUGCGUGAGAGGUGAAAUUCUUGGACCGUAGCGAGACGUCCGACUGCGAAAGCAUUUGCCAAGAAUGUCUUCAUUAAUCAAGAACGAAAGUCAGAGGUUC